GACGAACGCUGGCGGCGUGCUUAACACAUGCAAGUCGAACGGAAAGGCCCUGCUUUUGUGGGGUGCUCGAGUGGCGAACGGGUGAGUAACACGUGAGUAACCUGCCCUUGACUUUGGGAUAACUUCAGGAAACUGGGGCUAAUACCGGAUAGGAGCUCCUGCUGCAUGGUGGGGGUUGGAAAGUUUCGGCGGUUGGGGAUGGACUCGCGGCUUAUCAGCUUGUUGGUGGGGUAGUGGCUUACCAAGGCUUUGACGGGUAGCCGGCCUGAGAGGGUGACCGGCCACAUGGGGACGGGAGUACGGCCCAGCCUCCUAGGGGGGGAAGCAGGGGGGAAUAUUGCACAAGGGGCGGAAGCCGGAUGCAGCAACGCCGGGGGCGGGAGGACGGCCUUGGGGUUGUAAACCGCUUUCGCCUGGGACGAAGGGUGAGUGACGGUAAUGGGAAAAGAAGCACCGGCUAACUACGG
rnacentral:rRNA from 1 species